GGUACCGAUUGGACCCCGUUUUAUUAAUAUAAAGCUAUUAAAUACGUAUUUUCAUGUCAUAUACGAUCCAAAGGGGUACCAAUUAUUUGUAAAUAUAAAUAGACCUUUCUAGAGCUUAUUUUCACCGUAGAAAUCAUUUCACCAGUUUCUCUGCACGAAUACCGAGAGAAACCGAGCGGUGUUCUUCGUGUUCUUCAUAAUCAAACGAAGAUUUGAAGGUGUUAUUGGAAUCCGAUGGAGGCGUAUGAAUAGUCAAAACGAAGCUAUCGACGCGUAGAAUCCAGUUUAAUCAAUCAUAACCGUGCAGAUUUCACGGGAUUUGGACGAGACGUGUACGCUCGAAGACGUCAGAAAGUCGGAAUGGUAUUGCAAAGCGAAUAAGGGAUGAAUCGAGUAAGCGAAGCGAUGUGGCGAAUAGAGUAUAGCUAGAGAUGGUCUAGAGAUUAUGAGAUGCAUAGAUUGUGAAAGUGGAAAGAUGAGAAUGAGCUGUGAGACGGGAGUCAGAUUUAAGAAAGGAUUAAAGAUGAAUGGCUAGACUAUGAUUGCGAGUAAGGCUAAUGCUAGGCGAGGAGACAGAGUUGAGGAUCCAGUGGUCGAGGAGUGUUCAGGAAAGUUGAUGAGGUUGGUGCAAGCUGGAAUAGUUGACAGUGAUUCUUCUUAUCGAAGAUGAUCUGAUUUGGUAAGAGAUGUUGUGUAAUAAUAGUGGUAGAUUCUAAUUUCAAUACUGUAACCUGGAUGCGAUCCUGUUGCUUUUAGGGGGUUU